rnacentral:rRNA from 1 species
UACGGAGGAUGCGAGCGUUAUCCGGAUUUAUUGGGUUUAAAGGGUGCGUAGGCGGACUGUCAAGUCAGCGGUAAAAUUGAGAGUCUCAACCUCUUCCCGCCGUUGAAACUGGUGGUCUUGAGUGGAUGAGAAGUACGCGGAAUGCGUGGUGUAGCGGUGGAAUGCAUAGAUAUCACGCAGAACUCCGAUUGCGAAGGCAGCGUACCGGCAUCCAACUGACGCUGAGGCACGAAAGUGUGGGGAUCAAACAGG